UACGUAGGGUGCAAGCGUUAAUCGGAAUUACUGGGCGUAAAGCGUGCGCAGGCGGUUUUGCAAGACAGAUGUGAAAUCCCCGGGCUCAACCUGGGAACUGCAUUUGUGACUGCAAGGCUAGAAUCUGGCAGAGGGGGGUAGAAUUCCACGUGUAGCAGUGAAAUGCGUAGAUAUGUGGAGGAAUACCGAUGGCGAAGGCAGCCCCCUGGGCUGAGAUUGACUGGCGUCAGGCACGGAAAGCGAUGGGGAGCAAACAGGG
rnacentral:rRNA from 1 species